rnacentral:rRNA from 1 species
CAACAGCAUAUAUUAAAGUUGUUGCGGCUAAAAGGUCAUAGUUGGAUUUCUACCGAGGACGACAGGUCCGCCCUCUGGGGGAGUAAUCUGGCUCGGCCCGUGCAUCUUCUUGGAGGGCGUCGUUGCAGUAUGGAGUAAUAAGAUAGGACAUCGCUUCUAUUUUGUUGGUUUCUAGAGAUGAGGUAAUGAUUAAUACGGGGUAGUUGGGGGCAUUGGUAUUUAAUUGUCAAAGGUGAAAUUCUUGGGUUUGUUAAGGGCGGACUACUGCGAAAGCAUGUGCCAAGGAUGUUAUCAUUGAG